rnacentral:rRNA from 1 species
GACGAACGCUGGCGGCGCGCUUAACACAUGCAAGUCGAACGGAAAGGCCUGCUUUCCCUUGUGGAUUGCGGGUACUCGAGUGGCGAACGGGUGAGUAACACGUGAGUGAUCUGCCCCCAACUUGGGUAUAAGCCUGGGAAACUGGGUCUAAUUCCCGAUAGGACUGCAGGGUGGUGCCUGUGGUGGAAAACGAUUUUCUAGUGGUUGGGGAUGAGCUCGCGGCCUAUCAGCUUGUUGGUGGGGUAAUGGCCUACCAAGGCGGCGACGGGUAGCCGGCCUGAGAGGGUGGACGGCCACAUUGGGACUGAGAGACGGCCCAGACUCCUACGGGAGGCAGCAGUGGGGAAUAUUGCACAAUGGGCGGAAGCCUGAUGCAGCGACGCCGAGUGGGGGAUGACGGCCUUCGGGUUGUAAACUCCUUUCGACCGCGAGGAAGCCACCUGGUUGGAAGGGUGGUGACGGUAGUGGUAGAAGAAGCACCGGCUAACUACGUG